rnacentral:rRNA from 1 species
CUAUAAAUUGUAAUUUUUUAUUAUUAGGUAUUGCAUAUCAUUUAAAGAAAAUUUUAUUUUUAAUAAAAUAUAGAAUUAAAAGGUAGAAUUUUAUUAUUUUUAUUGUUUCAUAAUAAAAAUUAUAAAAUUUAGGGUUGAAAAGUCGACUUUUAGGAUAUUUGUUUAAGUAGUGUUUAUUAGAAAUUUAUUAUUUUAUUAUUUGAAAUUAAUAUAAAAAGUAUAAGUUGAAGUAUUUUUAUAGUUAGUUUUAUAACUGUUUAUAUGUGAUUUGGAAAUUGUUUGGUAAGAAAUUGAGAGUUGUUAAGUUUAUAGGAACUUAAUUAUUUUAGGAUAAGUAAUUGGAUUAAAUCAUUUGAGGAUUUGAAAUUUAAUAAAAUAACUAAAAAAUUAAUCAAAUGUUUUUUAAAGACUUAGACUUUUUGAUAAAGUUUGCUUCUGCCCAAUGAGUAAAAUUAAAUGGCACUCUUAGCGU